UUCAAAUGGCUUUACAAGGAUUUGAUGUUAGGUUACGGGUAGGCUAAAAGAAACAAGAAAGGCUUUAGGCUAAGUGUGGCUUAGAAGAUGAAUAGAAGAGAAUGGCAACUUACAAACUCGAAACACUUUUUUUUAUAUAUCGAAAUUUUUUUUUUCAGUAGCGUGAAAUUUCACUACGAGGGAUAUAAAAGAGUGUAGAAUGAGAUUUUGGAAAAAUUUCUAUUGAAGUGUCUCCAGACUCUUUUUUUUUUACGGAUCUUUCACGUUCUUUUCGUCCGCACCUAAACCGUAUACAAUUUUUUUCUUUCAAUUUUUUUUCUCUCGAAUUUUUUUUCAAAUUUUUUUUCGAACUUUUUUUUACGUACCUAUUUCAAAAUGUUUUCAAAUGCUCGUCUCGUUUUAACCAACUCUGAUACCAAAUGAUACGAUCUCGAUUUAGGAAUAAUUCAAGAAUGGUCUUUAGUUUUGGUACGAUUUGGUAUUCGGAAAAUGGUACGAAAUGGUAUGGGAUUUGGUACGAAAUGGUAAUGGUUCAAAAAG
rnacentral:lncRNA from 1 species